UACGUAGGUGGCAAGCGUUGUCCGGAUUUACUGGGUGUAAAGGGCGUGCAGCCGGGAGUGCAAGUCAGAUGUGAAAUCCCGCGGCUCAGCCGCGGAACUGCAUUUGAAACUGUGCUUCUUGAGUGCUGGAGAGGCAGACGGAAUUCCUAGUGUAGCGGUGAAAUGCGUAGAUAUUAGGAGGAACACCAGUGGCGAAGGCGGUCUGCUGGACAGUAACUGACGGUGAGGCGCGAAAGCGUGGGGAGCAAACAGG
rnacentral:rRNA from 1 species